ensembl:lncRNA
GUUAUCCUCUUUACUAUAAUGCUAGUCCAUAGGUUAUCCUCUUUAAUGCUAGUCUGUAGGUUAUCCUCUUUACUAUAAUGCUAGUCCGUAGGUUAUCCUCUUUACGAUAAUGCUAGUCAGUAGGUUAUCCUCUUUACGAUAAUGCAUAUCUGUAGGUUAUCCUCUUUACUAUAAUGCUAGUCCAUAGGUUAUCCUCUUUAAUGCUAGUCUGUAGGUUAUCCUCUUUACUAUAAUGCUAGUCCGUAGGUUAUCCUCUUUAAUGCUAGUCUGUAGGUUAUCCUCUUUACUAUAAUGCUAGUCCGUAGGUUAUCCUCUUUAAUGCUAGUCUGUAGGUUAUCCUCUUUACUAUAAUGCUAGUCCGUAGGUUAUCCUCUUUAAUGCUAGUCUGUAGGUUAUCCCCUUUACUGUAAUGCUAGUCUGUAGGUUACUGUAGCCUCUUUACGAUAAUGCUAGUCUGUAGAUUAGCUCCUUUACUACAGGGCUAGUUUCUAUUUUAUUUGUUUACUAUAAUGCUAUUUUGUAGGUUAGCUCGUUUACUACAAUGCUAUAAUCAAUUUGGCAUAAUAAACUGAUUAACCCAAAUGAUCAAUCCAAAUACAUCUCUGCAGGAGUCCACCAACCACUCACUGCCUCGCGUUGCAGUUUUUGCAGAUAUUCUAAUAAUUUGUCGGUUUUCAUGGUUCAGAAAUAGAACGGCCGGUAUUUUUAUGCCAGCAUGCAGAAUGCUGAAAUUGAUCCCAGGAGCUUCUGUUCUAUUUAACCUACUUAAGCAUAAGCGUGUGCAGAAGCCUCAGGGAUUUAACAUUUCCAAGUGUCAAAAUGAAUUAAGCAUCACAGAUACUACUUAAAUCUCUCUCUCUCACUCUCUCUCUCUCUCUCUCACACACACACACACAGAGUAAUAAAAGUUUGUAUUUGAUAUUUAUGCGCUCGGUGCACAGGAAGAAAAGAGAAAUGGAGAAGCAACCUUGGGAAUCCCUUAAUAUUUUGAAUUUUGAGUUGUUGAUGACGAUCAUGUACACAGAAUGGGAGGGAAAGGCAGGGAGGAAAUGUACUUAUUUUCAUUUUUUAAAUACGUGACACCAUUACACUUCACUUGUCCCUAUGUAGCUUUAAUUCACACCUAAGUCUCUCCUAUCAGAUUAACGAAGAGAAACACAGGCAUUUUAUCAUUAUCAGUGGUUGCCUAGGGACAGUGGAUGGAUGAUCACCGAGCGAUGAGCGUGAAGAGGUGCUGUGCGGUCAGACAGCAGACUGAGGUCAGAUUCAUUUUCCUGCCUGGUCAAUAAACACCAACAUGUCAAGCCAUCACACACAACUCCAUUGUUCAUUUCACACAAACUCAUUUAGAGUGUGUCAGUCCAAAUGGUGCUACAGUCGCUUCAUUAAUCCCUGAUUCACUCUUCUCAAACUUCUGAAGGCCUUGAAUUUUCAGAACGGUAGUACUAUCGCCAUGAUUUAUCAGGCUAGCCAUUCAACAGGAAGUAGUGAGGAUGCGGCAGUUUUCGGUGAUGAUACAGAAUCACACCAUCUCAGCAGAUUGCGAGUCGAGAUUAGCGGCCUUAAAAGGGUAACACGAUCCUCUCAUCACCGGGGACAGCCAAUGCCAAAGUUCUGUCAGUGUCAGAAAUGUUUUAUUCAAAUCUCAGCUGCUAUGGCGCUCGUCUAAAAGCCACCAAUAAGAGGACAGCAGUAGCAGGAUUUAACGAAACUCACACAGCUACAAACAUGGGAGCUGAAAUGGUGAAGCGUAAACGAAACAUGGGACGACUCUUUGCUUUUGUAAAAUGUUUUUACUAGACAUAACAUCGUCCGGUUUGGUGAAAUAAAUACUUCUAGUUCUUCAAGCUGAUGUGUCAAGGUUAUAGACAGUCCAUUACACAUACAGUAUACAAGACAAUAAAUACAAAAAGUACAAGACAUUGUGUGCAGACUGUAAUCACAGAUAAUAAAAAUGGUCAAUUAGCCUAUUAUUGUUCUUGCCUUGAGCAGUGCAGAGAUAUGAAAUAGAGCCGCAUGAUAUUACACAGUUCACAGAUGUAGACUGUUGCCCUAAUAGACUUCAGUGAUGUUCAUAUCUGCAUAUCUUUGCACUUCAGUCUGUCUGCAGGGAAACCGGAAAGCAUCGUCGUACAGUACAAGUAACCUGAUAAAACACCUUACGGCAUUUAAGCAGCAUCUUUAAUAGACAGUGUGAGGAUGUAUCGGGAGCAGUAUCAGUGAGCGUAAUCGUUCAAAAUUAGAACAUGGUAUCAAAGAAACAUCAAUCCCGCCGACCAUCCAUCCAUUUUCUGUACCGCUUAUCCGACACAGGGUUACAGAUGAGCCUGGAGACUAUCCCAGGGAACUCGGGGAACAACGCAGGGGACACCGUGGACGGGUUGCCAAGCUAUUGCACGGCACAAUCGCACACUACGGGCAAUUUGGAAAUGCCAAUCAGCCUACGGUACAUGUCUUUGGACUGGGGGAGGAAACUGGAGUACCUGGAGGAAACCCCCGAAGCACAGAGAGAACAUGCAAACGCCACGCAUACAUGGUGGUGGCAGGAUUCAAAACGCCAACCCUGGAGGUGUGAGGCAAACAUGCUAACCACUAAGCCACCGUGCAGUAUAUCACAUACGAUGAUAUUCUAUGUUACCAUGUAGUAUUGGUCCUGUAAUGAUGCAUCCCUAAGUGAAACGAUUAGAUCGAUUCCCAUUACAAGUGGGUGUUUUUCUUGUCAGGCUUUUGAAAGUGCAAAUUCAAAAAGCCGACGGAGACCCCAUUCAUGCUUGGCUUUGGUUUGUCUGUGCGUAGACUAUGAGCAUGCCUGGCUGGAGAGUCGUCGUCAGCAUCGGUAUGACAUCAAUAAAUGGUGAGUCAAACAGCUAGCUACUGCGCUUGAAAGAGCGACAAAACACUUUUAGACUAAUGGCAAGCCAAAAACGCAAUGCCUAAUGCAGGAUCAAGCAUGGACCAAACAGGAAAAGCAGGCACUUAUACCCAGUCAGUCAAACCUGUCACAGUCCAGCCAAUCGUCUGUAAUGUAUUUGUGUCAGUAUCCACUCUCGGCCAUGUUCUGAUGAUGGUUUUGCAGUUCUGUCCUCUGACACACUGGCCACUUUGUAUUCAGCAUGGGAGCUGCUGCCGUUAAUUAGCCUCUGUCUGUCGCUGAGCAGAACCAGCAUAAAUCAAGCCUGCUCUUGCCAGGCCUCAUUAGGGCGCUUUGAGUGACGCUGAGACGGCACAAGGCCAGGCGUUUAAGUCGGAGCACACCCAGCGCUGUUUUUACAGCUCACUUCAGAGCAAUGGAAGGAUGGAGCGGAACGGAGGGGAGGGGAGUCCAAAUGGACUUUUUGGCAAAUGGUUUUGGCGAAAAUAAAUAAAUAAAUAAAAAAUGGGAGCACUUCAAGCACUUCGCUUCCAAAUCUAGCCGGAUAGCAGAUGGAAUAGGAUUGGGGUUAGGCAAAAUUUUCGGAUCGGUUACAGCAAUGGCGUCUACUGUGUGCUAAUAAUGGCCCAAAUUAAUUAUGGCUGGUGUUGAUAUUAGAUGUGAGGGCGAAAAUCUAACAUCUAUCAAUAGCUCAACAAUAAAUCUAGGUCUCAUCGAUGGCAUAAUACGAACGAUAUGGAGCAAAUGAUCACACACAUACACACACUUAACAGCAAAUAGUCAUGAUUUCUAAUUUCUUUCAAAGAGUUUCCGGUCUCUAAAGUGUCCGUAGUGUAUGAAUGGGUGUGUGAGUGUGUAUGUGAUUGUGCCCUGCGAUGGACUGGCACCCUGUCCAGGGUGUACCCCGGCUUGUGCCCGAUGCUCCCUGGUUAGGCUCCAGGUUCCCCUGCGACCCUGAAAAGGAGUAAGCAGUUGAAGAUGGAUGGAUGGAUGGAUGGAUGAGUUUCUGGUCUGUAGUAAUGCCCUACUAGGUUCAUGCCAUAUUUCCUUUGCAGAACAAACAUGAAAAAAGUUGUAACCACAAGCCACCAAAACACCUUCAUUGCACCUUGGCAUCAAUUCUACACGUCUCUGGAACUGUACUGGAGCAUUGAACACUGCUCUUCCAGAAGAUCCUCAAUAUGGUGUUUUCAUAAUAGUGGUGAAGAGCGCUGCCUACUGUAAAGCAUCGAUCCAAAAUCUCCCAACCUGGGUUGAGAUCUGGUGACUGUGAAAACUAUAAUGUGAUUUAUUUCAUUUUCAUCCUCACCAAACCAAUCAGUGAGUAUCCCUUGUGUCACAUGGAUUGAGGGCAGAGGCAUCCUGGAAGAGGCCAUUCCCAUCAGGAUAGAAAUGGAAAUGUAGGAUAAACAUUAAAUCAAUAAUUGCCCUCCAGAGCAUAACAGAGCCACUGGGCACUUUUUAAAAAAAAUAUAUUAUUCCCCUUUAAUUUGUCAUUCAUCUGUAUUGUCUAAUUAUAAAUGUGCAAAGAAUGCAAAGUCUUCACUAACUGAUAACAAGAAAACAGAAUUACGUCUUGAUUGUCCAGCGAUUCAUUUAUUUAUUUUUUUAGUUACUUUUCUUUGUUUCUCAACUUGUUCAGUCAUGCCAUUUGAUGUCUCCAAACUGUGUCCAAACUUGACAUUCAACCAAACCAAUGUUUCUGUGGCAACCAGAAAGGAGCAUGAGUCAUGUGGGGAAUGAGGUGGCCCACUAAACUGGAGCUCCACAUCUCAUGGGCUGGAUAUCACCUCAGAUAUCCAAUAACACUCAUCAAAAGCUAUCAUGAAAUGUCACUGCUUAAGUUUCGAGAGGUGUCCAUUACAGUAUAUUGAACAUUU